rnacentral:rRNA from 1 species
UGGGGAAUAUUGGGCAAUGGGCGCAAGCCUGACCCAGCAACGCCGCGUGAAGGAAGAAGGCCCUCGGGUUGUAAACUUCUUUCGACAGGGACGAAGCUUUUGUGACGGUACCUGUAUAAGAAGCACCGGCUAACUACGUGCCAGCAGCCGCGGUAAUACGUAGGGUGCGAGCGUUGUCCGGAAUUACUGGGCGUAAAGAGCUCGUAGGUGGUUUGUCGCGUCGUCUGUGAAAUUCCGGGGCUUAACUCCGGGCGUGCAGGCGAUACGGGCAUAACUUGAGUGCUGUAGGGGAGAUUGGAAUUCCUGGUGUAGCGGUGAAAUGCGCAGAUAUCAGGAGGAACACCGAUGGCGAAGGCAGGUCUCUGGGCAGUAACUGACGCUGAGGAGCGAAAGCAUGGGUAGCGAACAGGAUUAGAUACC